AUUGAACGCUGGCGGCAUGCCUUACACAUGCAAGUCGAACGGCAGCAUGAUCUAGCUUGCUAGAUUGAUGGCGAGUGGCGAACGGGUGAGUAAUACAUCGGAACGUGCCCUGUAGUGGGGGAUAACUAGUCGAAAGAUUAGCUAAUACCGCAUACUACCUGAGGGUGAAAGUGGGGGACCGCAAGGCCUCAUGCUAUAGGAGCGGCCGAUGUCUGAUUAGCUAGUUGGUGAGGUAAAGGCUCACCACGGCGACGAUCAGUAGCUGGUCUGAGAGGACGAUCAGCCACACUGGGACUGAGACACGGCCCAGACUCCUACGGGAGGCAGCAGUGGGGAAUUUUGGACGAUGGGCGAAAGCCUGAUCCAGCAAUGCCGCGUGUGUGAAGAAGGCCUUCGGGUUGUAAAGCACUUUUGCCCGGAAAGAAAUGGCUCUGGUUAAUACCUGGGGUCGAUGACGGUACCGGAAGAAUAAGGACCGGCUAACUACGUG
rnacentral:rRNA from 1 species